rnacentral:rRNA from 1 species
GCGUUGUUCGGAAUUAUUGGGCGUAAAGGGCGCGUAGGCGGUCGAUUAAGUCAGAUGUGAAAGCCCAGGGCUCAACCUUGGAAGUGCAUUUGAAACUGGUCGACUUGAAUCUCGGAGAGGGUGGUGGAAUUCCCAGUGGAGAGGUGAAAUUCGUAGAUAUUGGGAGGAACACCGGUGGCGAAGGCGACCACCUGGACGAAGAUUGACGCUGAGGCGCGAAAGCGUG